GGCUCGGUAGCUCAGUUGGUAGAGCAUCUGACUUUUAAUCAGAGGGUCGAAGGUUCGGGUCCUUCAUGGCUCACCA
rnacentral:tRNA from 1 species